AAUACAGAAAAAUAAUCAUACUUUCAGUAACCAAAUCUCCAGCAAAAUGGCAUCUAAAAAGUCUUCUACAUGUCCCAGAUGAGAAUUCUGUGUCCUUCGGGCUGUCAAGACUGGGGCAUCAUGGUGGUCUCAAGCUGAAAAAUCACGUGAUCUCAAAAAGUGAGAGAGUGACAAGGAACUGUGAGGUACCUAUUUGGUAGCAUAACAAGCUGGACAAUUUGCACGGGCAUUUUUUCCACCUCCCUUUUGGAACUUGCUUCAUCCAGCUGACACUGCCUCAAAGCCUUAGGCAACUCUCAGACACAGAGAAGUAAGU
rnacentral:lncRNA from 12 species